GUUGUUUAUAAAUACUACAGUGUGGCUUGUGACGCUGUUUGUCGAACGAUGCUUACAUUUAGUGUGAUCCUCGUUCUAGAUGAGAAAUAUAUUGCAACAUGUAUCUUGGUGCAAUCCAAGAAGCACGGAUGUCGUGACCUCGUUGUCACUGUCAAAGCGUUCAGUGACUAAGAAUGCUUUGGCGGGGCCUGUAUGACAACUGCGGUUUCAUGUCAUUUGCAAUGCAACCUGAGCUCAGUCGUGAUUACCCGCUGAACUUAAGCAUAUCACUU
rnacentral:misc_RNA from 1 species